UACGGGGGAGCAAGCGUUGUUCGGAUUUACUGGGCGUAAAGGGCGCGUAGGCGGCCACUGCAAGUCGGUUGUGAAAUCUCCGGGCUUAACCCGGAAAGGUCAAUCGAUACUGCAGGGCUAGAGUGCAGAAGGGGCAACUGGAAUUCUCGGUGUAGCGGUGAAAUGCGUAGAUAUCGAGAGGAACACCUGCGGCGAAGGCGGGUUGCUGGGCUGACACUGACGCUGAAGCGCGAAAGCUAGGGGAGCGAACGGG
rnacentral:rRNA from 1 species